GUAAUUACACCUCAAUUAUCCUCUUCUCAAGAAGGCAGCCUUGACUUUCACUUUUCUUUCCGCACAGCCUUGCUAUUAUCGUCACCUCGCGGUUGUUAUUUACUUUGCGCGCCGCUUAAAAAGUGCCACAAGCCGCCAGCCUGGGAUCAUUUCCCGCGAGCAGCAGCAACAGUGCACAUGGCGUGGACGUCCGCCUGAGGAACGCGCACACCGUGGAAGGGGAAGGUGCGAGCUGAAAGUCUGCAUCGUAUUAUUCCGCUGAAGGACGCAAGUGUCGCGCUGUCACGUGGGACGCACGCGGCCUCAUAAUGUCGCCAUUAUUGGUCCACGCCCUGCAGGAAAGCUCUGAUUUAGUAGCUCUUUGCUCCCUCAAAAUUGAGAGGAUGGAUUUUUUUUUUUUUGGACUUGCGGUGAAGUGAAGGUAGCCAAUUAUUGUCAUGGUCGCCCUCGAAAAUGCAUUAGGCCUCACCCGGAACCAAUCAAUCCCAGGCGCUGAAGAGGCGAUUAAUGGGUGACCUUUGAGCCACAAAAUCACCUUUUAUCAUCCACUUUUAUGCCAUUUCAUGGACUUCAAGCAGAAAGGUGUGAAUUUUAUGAUUUCAUUGAGAAUAUAUUUUUUAAUUUGUACUCAAAUUAGGGAAACAAGCUGUAAUAGUCCACACAUUUGGCUUGGGAGGGUGUUAUUUAAUUGAAAACACAUCCUGAUGUUUUAAUUAUUAUUAUUUUUUACUAAUAAAACUUAAACUACA